GCGAGAGGAGGGCAGAGAUGUGGACCCACACAGAGGCCACGCCGGGGCUGAGCAAGGACGGCCCCGGAUAGGGCGGGCUUAGAGAGGGGCACGGAGGCUGGACCCUGGCCUUGAAGGAGCCCCUGCAAGGUGGGGGCUGCACUGGGGUUGUGGCAGGGGAACAUGUGGACCACAGAAAGCAUCACACCUGGGCUGGUGCUGGACAUCCCCAGCACCAACCACACCUUCUCAUCGCCAGGGCCUCCUGUUCAGGCUGCUUGGACUCUCAAGCUCUGUCUGCUUUGUUCCUACUUGGCAGAACUGGGCGCCUCUCAGCACUCACUUGGAGACGUGGGGUCGGAACUCUGGUGGCCUGGUGCCUCUCCCAGCCAGGACCUGGAUGAAUGAACACACACCCUUCCUUUCCCAGGCUCUGCCGUGUCUUCUGUCAAAGGUCCCUCCUGCUACCACCACGGAUGCCACCUAAUCCCUGCCCUCUUGAAGAGCUACUUCCCUCCUCCCUUCCUCCCCUGCCCAAGAUCUCCCUGCCCCUCAAGUCCUGGCUCCAGAGGGGAGUCAGGAGGCCCCCGGAAGAAAGCGUCUCCCUCCCGGCUCUCUGCUUGCCAUCACCCAGGAGGCCGACGUGGCCAGGGUGACUGCAGGACAGCUUGUGUCUUUGCAAGUCAAGGUGGGACAGCUUCGUCCCAAAGACCGAGACUACAGGACUUGACGCCGCAAUCCUCCAGGGUCGGAUGGACCCAGCGCAGAGGAGAUUCACGAUGGACUGCCCUCCCUCCCCCGCCCAUUCUCCACUAAACUAAGGAGCCCCUUUUCCCUGUUUUCCUGCUUUCCCAGGGAGGGGCUGAGCUGGGCAAGGGAUGAAACGCCCAGCACGGGAAUCCGACCCAGGCUCUCCGAGCCUUCGCACUGGGACAACUUUCUGGAAAGGGUAGGCAGACAGAAGGGUAGAGGGGACGUUGGAGGCUGCGCUAUCGGCAGCCUUGCUGGAACGCCCUGCUCCUAGGGGCCCCGAGAGAGCCUGCACAUACGGCCCAGGG
rnacentral:lncRNA from 1 species